rnacentral:rRNA from 1 species
GAUUUCUGGUUAAGUAACGCUAGAUCGCCCUUGCCAGGGGUGCGCUGGUUAUUUGUUGCAUCUUUCUUGAAAGCCAGCGUUUGUCAUUCACUUGGCGGACGUGACGCGAUAUAGAUCUGUUACUUUGAAAAAAUUAGAGUGUUAAAGCAGGCUUACGCUAUGAAUACAUUAGCAAGGAAUAAUAAUAUAGGACUUUGGUUCUAUUUUGUUGGUUUCUAGGACUGAAGUAAUGAUUGAUAGGGAUAGUUGGGGGUGCUAGUAUUUAGUGGCCAGAGGUGAAAUUCUUGGAUUCACUGAAGACUAACUACUGCGAAAUCAUU